UCUCACUGUGGGUGUCUGUCCCCAUCCCCUGGGUCCCGCUGUCUGUCCAUCUGGUUCCAUGUUCCCACUCUCCUGUCUGUCCAUCCCUAGGUCCUAGUGUCUGUCCCCCCGUCUGUCCCCAGGUGUCACUGUGGGUGUCUGUCCCAUCCCCCGGGUCCCGCUGUCUGUCUUUCCAUCUGGUUCCAGGUUCCCACUCUCCUGUCUGUCCAUCCCUAGGUCCUAGUGUCUGUCCCCCUGGUCUGUCCCCAGGUGUCACUGUGGGUGUCUGUCCCGUCCCCUGGGUCCCGCUGUCUGUCUGUCCAUCUGGUUCCAGGUUCCCACUCUCCUGUCUGUCCAUCCCUAGGUCCUAGUGUCUGUCCCCCCGGUCUGUCCCCAGGUGUCACUGUGGGUGUCUAUCCCGUCCCCUGGGUCCCGCUGUCUGUCUGUCCAUCUGGCUCCAGGUUCCCACUCUCCUGUCUGUCCAUCCCUAGGUCCUAGUGUCUGUCCCCCCGGUCUGUCCCCAGGUGUCACUGUGGGUGUCUGUCCUGUCCCCCGGGUCCCGCUGUCUGUCUGUCCAUCUGGCUCCAGGUUCCCGCUCUGCUGUCUGUCCAUCCACCCUAGAGCCUAGUGUCUGUCCCCCCGGUCUGUCCCCAGGUGUCACUGUGGCUGUCUGUCCCGUCCCCCGGGUCCCGCUGUCUGUCUGUCC